CCAUACAAGUAUUCAUCUCCUCCACCACCACCAUACAAGUAUUCAUCUCCUCCACCACCACCAUACAAGUAUUCAUCUCCUCCACCACCACCAUACAAGUAUUCAUCUCCUCCUCCACCACCCUACAAGUACUCAUCUCCACCACCACCACCCUACAAGUACUCAUCUCCACCACCACCACCACCCUACAAAUACUCAUCCCCUCCACCACCACCCUACAAGUAUUCAUCCCCACCACCACCACCCUAUAAGUACUCAUCACCACCACCACCACCAUACAUGUACUCGUCCCCUCCUCCUCCACCCUACAAGUACUCAUCCCCACCACCACCACCCUACAAAUACUCAUCCCCUCCACCACCACCCUAUAAGUACUCUUCACCACCACCACCACCCUACAAAUACUCAUCACCACCACCACCACCCUACAAAUACUCAUCCCCACCACCACCACCAUACAAGUA
rnacentral:lncRNA from 1 species